rnacentral:lncRNA from 1 species
GUCUGUGCCUCUGCAAAAAUGUUAACACAUCUUUACUGAAGAGUUUAAAUGGUUCCAUCCAGUUGUGGCCUCAAAUGUUCAAAAGGAAGAAUGACUUUGCCCUUUUAAAGCAAGAAACUUUAUAUCAAUGAAUAUGUGACCAAUAAAUUGAAAAGUUUAAUGUAAAGGCAAACUAUACUAUAUAAAUAUUUGUUUCCACUGACAACUCAAAUCAAAUAUGUGUUCUAAUCUCUUAGAGAUGCUCUGAAUUGAAGAACAAGAAGAAAAAAA